rnacentral:lncRNA from 1 species
GUUUCUAGAGCUCGGAGGCUGCUGGUAGGGGGGCACCACUUUCAGAUAAAAACAUAGACCUGAAUGGCAUCAUCCAGUAUCCAAGGAAACCAUGCUUGCUUGAAGAGUGAGCAGGUGAGCAAAGAGACAAGAUUACAUGUUUAAACCAAGAAAAGAAUCUUGAAAAACAGAUUGGAAGAAUGCGAAAUGUUAUUAGACACAGGCACAGCAUAGCAGUAGAAACAUCUUAACUGAGAACUUGGAACUGAAAGAGAAAGCAACCAACUUAAAGGGCAGACAAGACACAUGGUUAUGUAACACAGCAGUGGGUAUUCACAGUGAUGACACAAGACAAAACAAUUACAUUUUCAUUCUAAAAGUAAUUUUUAAGGAGGCAAGGGCAUUUAUAAAACAUUUUAGAAACUAUUUAAUAAAAAUGGUAAAAUUAAAGUGUUUGUUUAUGUACUCAACAAAUAUUUAUUUGGAAAGUGCAUGCCUGGGGGCACAUCUCGUUAAUGAGGUGAUCCUGUGUUUAGAACUGAAGGCAGUCCUCAUCCAUUCUCUCAAAAGGUGACCUUCUUUGUUCUUCUUAUAGCCUCACCACAUUUAAUUUUCAGAGGUUUUGACAUAAAUUAAAAACAUUCUUUGGUAGAUUGUAUUGUAUGAAAACAAUCUUCAAAAGUGUAAGCAUUGAUAUCUGGAAUAUCUGGGAAAAUGUACAAUAAAGACAUCUCUUCUGGUCUU